GGCGUUUUCUGUGCUGGACCGUGUCCAAGUCCCUUGGAACAGGGUAUCAAAGAGGGUGACAAUCCCGUACUUGACACGACAACCAGUGCUCUGUGAUACGUCUUCUACGAGUCGAGUUGUUUGGGAAUGCAGCUCAAAAUGGGUGGUGAAUUCCAUCUAAAGCUAAAUAUUGGCGAGAGACCGAUAGCGAACAAGUACCGUGAGGGAAAGAUGAAAAGCACUUUGGAAAGAGAGUUAAACAGUAUGUGAAAUUGUUGAAAGGGAAACGAUGGAGGUCAGUCGUGUCUGUGGGAUUCAGCCGUCUCUGGCGGUGUACUUCCCACAGACGGGUCAACAUCAGUUUUGGCUGGCGGAUAAAGGCAGGAGGAAGGUGGCACCCCCGGGUGUGUUAUAGCCUCUUGUUGCAUACGCUGGCUGAGACUGAGGAAUGCAGCUCGCCUUUAUGGCCGGGGUUCGCCCACGUUCGAGCUUAGGAUGUUGACAUAAUGGCCGUGUCAUACGACCCGUCUUAAAAAA
rnacentral:rRNA from 1 species